UCAAAUAAGUAUUAAAUAAUAAAAUAACUAGAGAAGGCUGACUAUAAUCAGCUUGCUUCCAUUUAGUGGGAUAAGCCUGCUCUUCGUCUGAAUUAAAAAAGCCCUUCUGGUCUUGUUAUUAACAUAACUCGAUAGAAAUUGCCUAACAUUAAGUAUAUAGAAGAGAAGAAUAUAGCUACCUAUAUUGCCCAUGCCAGGAUCCGCCACUGCCAGAUGCAGUGAGAAAUAAAAAAAAACAAGCCAAUCACAAGAUAUCUGGUAGCGGGGCACCUGGGGUGGGCAAUCAGAUUUCUGUGGGGGUCGGUGCCACCCCUGGCCACCAUAUGACUGUUGUACUAUUGAAAUAACCAUAUACAAGCCAGUCACGACUGACUGUGUGGUUUCUGUCCAUGUAUUUGUAUAUUAAUUUAGCAGCCUGAUGUUUUACAAGAGUACAGAUGUCAACACGUUGUUCAUGUUCUUUUUUUUCAAUCAUUCAGUUUCAAUAUACUGUACAUAAAUAUAUUUUUGAGCUGAUUUUCAAUGCAAGUAACUGGUAAAAUCAUGUAACCACCACUUGUUGUUUCAGAAAGUUACUGACCUACUUUUGUACACGAUAUUAUCACACAAAAACAAAGCUAUUUCAAAAAGGAUAUUUAGCUGGACCUUUAAUUAACGGAUUGAGUUCAGAGUGAGAUUAGUGUCUUGAGUCUCUAAUCAAGUUUACUUACUAAACUUGAAUACUAGAAAGGGCUCUCACCCUGAGUGUAUCUUUAUCAUGUUGGCGCUGCUUACGGCCAAAGCUCUAAGGACAAGCCUGAAACACAGGGGCUUACCUCCUUCUUUUCUUAAAGCCGUCUUUAGCUCAGGCUAAUGCAUGGCCUGGUUUCAGCACUAGGACAGUGAGCUGCAAAACAAUGGGCAGAGCUCUGCAGCAUGGCUGCUUUUGACAGGUGGAAAACAGAGGCUAAAAGGUCACCUGAGAGGAUCAUUAUUUUUAGUAGUGUUGCAUUAAAUUGACCUGAAGUAAGUCUUGUUCAUGGAAAUAUGUGUUUUUGGUUUAGUUUGCCAUUGUUUUGAAGCAGGGGUCCAAUGUUUGGCUGGUUAGCUGCAAAAGUUAGGCUAUACACACUCUGCAUGCAAAAAAACAAACAUCUUUCUUCAUUUACAGCCAUUUAGGAGUUGGCUUGUAUUCUUAAUUCUUAUUCUUAAAUACUACAUGCUAAUGUUGCUAAAAAGAAGAAACCUCAAUGGUGAUAAACAAUUAGAGCUCUUUAUUAUUAUUAUUAUAGACAAUGUAGUCAUUUCCUGGUCAAAUUCAACAUAAACAUCAUAUCUUCAUAAACAUGUUGAUAAAUGAAUAUUAUCAAUGAAGACUAUUAAGUUGAGAGCAAAUAAAUCAACAUUUACAAUAUUAUAUAUAUAAAAGAUCUAGUUUGGAACACAGACAUUCAACUGAACGGUUCUUCAGAAUACACAUAAUGCACACCAUUGACAUCAAGUUUCAAUACAACUUCUGCAACAUGUAGUUCUAGAAUAGCUUGGGCAAUGCAGUACAGUAAACUUGUUACAUGCUAAACAGCAAAUGUAAACCAGUCAUACCCCAUGUUAGGUGAAAAGAGAGCGACUGUUAGUAACUUCCAAAUGAUAAAGUAAAUAAUAACCUGAAUGCAUUACCUCUCAUGGUACAGCAUUUUUCCUUAUAAAUUUUAGAUUUACUUUCACAUUAUAGGACAUGUUAAUGUGCAUUUUACAAUGUUCUCAGCUGUGCACGUAUGAUCCAAAUCAUGUAUUUCUGGUGUGCAUGAGUUUAUUUGUGACUUGCAGAUUUAUUUUUACACUAAUUCCAUGCUUGUUUUUAUUGGGCGAUGUAUUUAUCUAACUCUAACCACUAAUGUUUUUUUUCCUAUAUUGACCGAUAGUAAAAAAAUAAAUACAAAUCUGAUAGGAAUUUGAAUGAAAGCACAGAUAUUUUCAUUUCCCAAAGUGUGCUUUGACUUCCUGUGCUAUAUAAAUAUAUCAAAUUUCUCAAUAUUACUGUAUAAAGUUUGAAAAUUGCAAUGUUUCAUCUAUCUUCCAUUAUUGGAGCUGUGCGAUUCGAACAGUGUGAUAAAUAGCUGCCUAUGUGCAUUCAGCAGAAAACUGUUGCAUCCAAUCAAAUGUUUACAUAUCUUUUAAAACAUAGUAUGACAAACACUACAGAGAGGUGAGCAUGAUGUAGGAUGAGCCUGACAACAAAUACAGACAAAAAAAAAAA